AGCUUUGCGCAGUGGCAGUAUCAUAGCCAAUGAGGUCAAACCGAGGCGUUAUUAUUGCUAGUUGU
rnacentral:snRNA from 1 species